rnacentral:rRNA from 1 species
GUGGGGAAUAUUGCACAAUGGGCGAAAGCCUGAUGCAGCAACGCCGCGUGCGGGAUGACGGCCUUCGGGUUGUAAACCGCUUUUGUCAGGGAAGAAGCCGCAAGGUGACGGUACCUGGAGAAAAAGGACCGGCUAACUACGUGCCAGCAGCCGCGGUAAUACGUAGGGUCCGAGCGUUGUCCGGAAUUAUUGGGCGUAAAGAGCUCGUAGGCGGUUUGUCGCGUCUGCUGUGAAAACGCGAGGCUCAACCUCGCGCCUGCAGUGGGUACGGGCAGACUUGAGUGGUGUAGGGGAGACUGGAAUUCCUGGUGUAGCGGUGGAAUGCGCAGAUAUCAGGAGGAACACCGAUGGCGAAGGCAGGUCUCUGGGCACUUACUGACGCUGAGGAGCGAAAGCGUGGGGAGCGAACAGGAUUAGAAACCCUAGUAGUCC